GCCCUGGUGGCUGAAUGGUUAAGCACUCAGCUGCUGACUGAAAGAUUGGUGGUUCCAACCCUCCAGUGGCU
rnacentral:tRNA from 1 species